rnacentral:tmRNA from 1 species
GCCCUUUCCUUGGGCGGAGGAAACCACUAUAUCAGCCUUGCCGGCUUUCGGGCCGGCUAUGGCGAUAAAUGAGCGGUGUAAUAAGCCUAUUGGACCCGGGGGCGGUACCCGGCGCCUCCACCAAAAACCGGCGGCCUUGAAGGCCGGCUUUUGAUGGGGGCGAAACAGGAUCGACAAGGGUGUAAAGAUCGUCUUUUUGCUCGGCAUUGUACCGCCGUUAUCGGGCUAAAAUUGUAGUUGCAAACGACAACUAUGCGGAAGCUCGUCUCGCUGCUUAAUCGCAGUGUGACACUUCAAAUCAAGCCCUAGUGGUUCGCACCUCUAGGCGGGGUCCGAAGGCACCUGGCAACAGAAGCCUUCACC